rnacentral:tmRNA from 1 species
UCACUUCACAUUAAGCGAGGACCGCCUAUAUAGGUCCUCGCCGGUUUCGACCGGCUAUGGUGAUAAAUUGCGGCGUGCAAUAGGCACAGCGGACCCGGGGGCGGUACCCGGCGGCUCCACCAUUAUCAUCCUGAACCGGGAUUUUCCGGGGGCAGGAGCCCUGUUGUCGCAGGGAUAAUGACGGGGCCGAACUAGGAUCGACGUGUGUUGAAAAACGCUGUUUUUGCCCGGGCUGAGUAACCCGUUCAAGGCUCAAAACUCAUAAGUGCCAACGACAACGAAGCACUUGCUCUCGCGGCGUAAUUCUAGGGGCUAACGCCCUGAAGUUACAAAGUUAGAACACGGUUGGACCGACCGGGUAACAGAACGGAGACCAGCGGUACGGGGCGCACCGGGCAACAGAAGCGUCCCACU